ACAGCUCGGUGUCCCCUGCGGGCUGCGGUGUCACAGGCCACCGGCUAAACCCGCGGGGCCAUGGGGAACAGCCGGCAGGGACCUGAGGCUGCCCUGGCUGUCCUCCAUCCCCGCAGCAUCGCCCCCACGGCACAGGGCAGGGCACACCCGUGGCUGUGCCACCCUGCCCAGUGUCGCUGUGUGACCCGCAGCCAUCCUGGGAACCCUCCGGGGCUCACGGAAACACAGACCGCGUUGGGCUGGGAGGGACCUUAAAGCUCACCUCGUUGCACCCCUGCCGUGGCAGGGACACCUCCUGCCACAGCGCUGCCCAGGCUGGGCUCCUGCAGCCUCUCCUGCUGCCCCUCGGAGCGGCAGCAGCAGCGGCAAGUCCUGGAGCUGCUCAGCUCCCUUCUUCGUUCCCAAAGGCAGCAAAGCCAGCCCUGCUUCUGCCGUGUCCCUUCUGGGGCUCUGGGGCAGCCACUGCCACCCACGGGUGCUGGCAGUGACCCGGGGUGGCUGCAGUGACACGGUGACAUGACUGCUCUGUGCUGGGGGAGGUCAGCACCUCGCUCUUCCCGUGCUCUGGAAUCAGGGAGCUGCAGGAGCAUCACAGGAGGGUUCAUCCAGCCCUGUUCCACGGGGAUCACCCCUGGCACAGUGACCUCUCCUCUGCCUCUUGCUGGUGGAGGAAUUCCUGCUCUGGGACGCUCUCAGUCUCUCCCACUCUUUCUGUCUCCAAGCGGGAAAAGUUUUGCUCCAGUGACAUUUUUGCAGUGCUCAAAGCCCACAUCCCCUGGUUUGAUGUUGCCCAGAGCAGCUGGGGCUGCCCCUGGAUCCCUGGCAGUGCUCAAGGCCAGGCUGGACAUUGGGGCUGGAGCUCCUGGGACAGUGGGAGGUGUCCCUGCCAUGGCAGGGGUGGGAUGGGAUGAGAUUCAAGGUCUCUUCCCACCCAACCCAGUAAUUCUGGUCUCAGGGGUGCCACUGAGGGUGUUCAGUGUCAGCUGGGACAGGGACAGCUUCUGGGAGGCAGGAGAUGGGAAUUUGUCUCCCAGGAGAUCCACACAGGAGCACAAGGUAAGAAUCUUUUGUUACAGCUGGGAGUUCUUUCCUUUCCUGAUGUUCCUGAAAAACACCAAGAUUCUGAAGGGCACAAAGGAACUGGAAAACCCCUGGAAGAGUCGAGUUCUUAUGGAGAAAAUAGAGACUUUUCUUGCCUGAAAAGACAAAUGUGGAGAGGGAGGAACACAGGGAUGUGCCAGGGGAGGUGGGAACCAAACCCCCCAAGCCAGGAGCCGGGAAGGCCAAGGCUGGAGCUGUGAGUUGAAAUCCUCAAUUCCCAUCACCUCACACCAGUUCCACAGUGGUUCCACCAACUCCAGCAAACGGGAAAAGCAAGGCCAGCAAAGAGCAGGCCAGGACAGUGAGAAAUGUGGGUCCCAGGGAACAGUGAGGAAUGUGGGUUCCAGAGAAUAGUGAGAAAUGUGGGUCCCAGAGAACAGUGAGAAAUGUGGGUCCCAGAGAACAGUGAGAAAUGUGGGUCCCAGAGAACAGUGAGAAAUGUGGGUCCCAGGGAAUAGUGAGAAAUGUGGGUUCCAGAGCACAGUGAGAAAUGUGGGUCCCAGAGAACAGUGAGAAAUGUGGGUCCCAGAGAACAGUGAGAAAUGUGGGUCCCAGAUAACACUGAGAAAUGUGGGUCUCAGAGAACAGUGAGAAAUGUGGGUUCCAGAGCACAGUGAGAAAUGUCUGGACUAUAGAGAGAAGGAACAGUUUUAAGGACCCAGCUCCUUCUGUUCAAUAAAUGGUCGAGCUGCA